rnacentral:rRNA from 1 species
UACAUGGGGUGCAAACGUUGCUCGGAAUUAUUGGGCGUAAAGCGCACGUAGGCGGUUUGUUAAGUCGGAUGUGAAAUCCCCCGGCUCAACUGAGGAAGUGCAUCCGAAACUGGCAAGCUUGAGUACGAAAGAGGGUCGCGGAAUUCCCGGUGUAGAGGUGAAAUUCGUAGAUAUCGGGAGGAACACCGGUGGCGAAGGCGGCGACCUGGGUCGAUACUGACGCUGAGGUGCGAAAGCGUGGGGAGCAAACAGG